UAUUGCGCAAUGGGCGAAAGCCUGACGCAGCGACGCCGCGUGGGGGAUGAAGGUCUUCGGAUUGUAAACCCCUUUCGGGAGGGAAGAUGGAAUGGGGUAACCCAUUCGGACGGUACCUCCAGAAGCAGCCACGGCUAACUUCGUGCCAGCAGCCGCGGUAAUACGAAGGUGGCAAGCGUUAUUCGGAUUUACUGGGCGUACAGGGAGCGUAGGCGGUUUGGUAAGCCCUCUGUGAAAUCUCCAGGCUUAACCUGGAAAAGUCGGAGGGGACUGCUGGGCUAGAGGACGGGAGAGGAGCGCGGAAUUCCCGGUGUAGCGGUGAAAUGCGUAGAGAUCGGGAGGAAGGCCGGUGGCGAAGGCGGCGCUCUGGAACGUUCUGACGCUGAGGCCGA
rnacentral:rRNA from 1 species